rnacentral:rRNA from 1 species
GACGAACGCUGGCGGCGCGCCUAACACAUGCAAGUCGAACGAGAAUCAGCUGAUGAAGUUUUCGAAUGGAUUCGGUUGAGGAAAGUGGCGAACGGGCGAGUAACGCGUGAGCAACCUACCUUGUACUGGGGGAUAACGUCGGGAAACCGGCGCUAAUACCGCAUAACACUACGAUAGCGCAUGUUAUUGUAAUCAAAGCUUUAGUGGUACGAGACGGGCUCGCGUCCAAUUAGCUAGUUGGUGAGGUAAAGGCUCACCAAGGCGACGAUUGGUAGCCGAACUGAGAGGUUGAUCGGCCGCAUUGGGACUGAGACACGGCCCAGACUCCUACGGGAGGCAGCAGUGGGGAAUAUUGCGCAAUGGGGGAAACCCUGACGCAGCGACGCCGCGUGAAGGAAGAAGGCCUUCGGGUUGUAAACUUCUUUGAUCGGGGACGAAGAUGACGGUACCCGAGGAACAAGCCACGGCUAACUACGUGCCAGCAGCCGCGGUAAUACGUAGGUGGCAAGCGUUGUCCGGAAUUACUGGGCGUAAAGGGCGUGUAGGCGGGGGGACAAGUCAGAUGUGAAAUACCGCGGCUUAACUGCGGGGGUGCAUCUGAAACUGUUCUUCUUGAGUGUCGGAGAGGAAAGUGGAAUUCCCAGUGUAGCGGUGAAAUGCGUAGAGAUUGGGAGGAACACCAGUGGCGAAGGCGGCUUUCUGGACGAUAACUGACGCUGAGGCGCGAAAGCGUGGGGAGCAAACAGG